rnacentral:misc_RNA from 1 species
GAUGAAGAACGCAGCGAAAUGCGAUAAGUAAUGUGAAUUGCAGAAUUCAGUGAAUCAUCGAAUCUUUGAACGCAACUUGCGCCCUCUGGUAUUCCGGAGGGCAUGCCUGUUUGAGUGUCAUGUAGACUCAAUCCCUCGGGUUUCUGAGGAGGUUGGAUUUGGGUGCUUGCCUUCUGGCUCGCCUUAAAGGACUUAGCAGGAUAGCACUGUAGUCGACGUAAUAAGUCUCGUCGGUGAAAGUGUGAUGUCUGCUUACAGAUUGCCCUUGGGCACUUUAGACUCUGACCUCAAAUCAGGUAGGACUACCCGCUGAACUUAAGCAUAUCAAUAAGCGGAGGA